rnacentral:rRNA from 1 species
AGUGAACGCUGGCGGUAGGCCUAACACAUGCAAGUCGAACGGCAGCACAGUAAGAGCUUGCUCUGACGGGUGGCGAGUGGCGGACGGGUGAGGAAUACAUCGGAAUCUACUUUUUCGUGGGGGAUAAUGUAGGGAAACUUACGCUAAUACCGCAUACGACCUACGGGUGAAAGCAGGGGAUCUUCGGACCUUGCGCGAUUGAAUGAGCCGAUGUCGGAUUAGCUAGUUGGCGGGGUAAAGGCCCACCAAGGCGACGAUCCGUAGCUGGUCUGAGAGGAUGAUCAGCCACACUGGAACUGGGACACGGUCCAGACUCCUAUGGGAGGCGGCAGUGGGGAAUAUUGGACAAUGGGCGCAAGCCUGAUCCAGCCAUACCGCGUGGGUGAAGAAGGCCUUCGGGUUGUAAAGCCCUUUUGUUGGGAAAGAAAAGCAGCAGGUUAAUACCCCGCUGUUCUGACGGUACCCAAAGAAUAAGCACCGGCUAACUUCGUG